rnacentral:piRNA from 1 species
UGAGCAGAAUGUGAGGGUGGUGGAUGGGAG